rnacentral:rRNA from 1 species
GACGAACCGUGCAAACGUUGUUCGGAUUCACUGGGCUUAAAGGGCGCGUAGGCGGGCCCCCGAGUCGGUGGUGAAAUCCCUCAGCUCAACUGAGGGACCGCCUCCGAUACCCGGGGCCUCGAGGGAGGUAGGGGCGGCCGGAACUUCCGGUGGAGCGGUGAAAUGCGUAGAUAUCGGAAGGAACGCCGGUGGCGAAAGCGGGCCGCUGGACCUCUGCUGACGCUGAGGCGCGAAAGCCAGGGGAGCAAACGGG